rnacentral:rRNA from 1 species
GACGUAGGGCGCGAGCGUUGUCCGGAUUUAUUGGGCGUAAAGAGCUCGUAGGCGGCUUGUCGCGUCGAAUGUGAAAUCCCGAGGCUCAACUUCGGGCUUGCAUUCGAUACGGGCAGGCUAGAGUUCGGUAGGGGAGACUGGAAUUCCUGGUGUAGCGGUGAAAUGCGCAGAUAUCAGGAGGAACACCGAUGGCGAAGGCAGGUCUCUGGGCCGAUACUGACGCUGAGGAGCGAAAGCGUGGGGAGCGAAUGGG